rnacentral:rRNA from 2 species
CUGCGUGGAGCCGACCUUGAAAUACCACCCUUUAAUGUUUGAUGUUCUAACGUGGACCCGUAAUCCGGGUUGCGGACAGUGUCUGGUGGGUAGUUUGACUGGGGCGGUCUCCUCCUAAAGAGUAACGGAGGAGCACGAAGGUUGGCUAAUCCUGGUCGGACAUCAGGAGGUUAGUGCAAUGGCAUAAGCCAGCUUGACUGCGAGCGUGACGGCGCGAGCAGGUGCGAAAGCAGGUCAUAGUGAUCCGGUGGUUCUGAAUGGAAGGGCCAUCGCUCAACGGAUAAAAGGUACUCCGGGGAUAACAGGCUGAUACCGCCCAAGAGUUCAUAUCGACGGCGGUGUUUGGCACCUCGAUGUCGGCUCAUCACAUCCUGGGGCUGAAGUAGGUCCCAAGGGUAUGGCUGUUCGCCAUUUAAAGUGGUACGCGAGCUGGGUUUAGAACGUCGUGAGACAGUUCGGUCCCUAUCUGCCGUGGGCGCUGGAGAACUGAGGGGGGCUGCUCCUAGUACGAGAGGACCGGAGUGGACGCAUCACUGGUGUUCGGGUUGUCAUGCCAAUGGCACUGCCCGGUAGCUAAAUGCGGAAGAGAUAAGUGCUGAAAGCAUCUAAGCACGAAACUUGCCCCGA